AACGUGCAACAUUUUUAUUGAAGAAAAAUGCGAGUUGGACGGUAAUGCGAUCUACAUAUAUUAUUGCUUACUGUGUAUUCGCUGACAUCAUUUGGAUUAUGAAAAGCUAAAAUAUGAAACAUUGGAUACUCUUAAUGACCCAUUAAUUAAGAUCGAGCUUAACCAAGCGUCGUUUGUCGUUAAAAAAAAAAAAGAUUAAUUAGAAAACCACAGAUGUUGA
rnacentral:lncRNA from 1 species